CACUCUUUAUAAAGCAGCGCUUCGGCAGAGUUGCAGUCACUGCAGCAGCAACCGUCAUUUGUUCAUUGAGUCAUGAAGUUCCUACUGAGCGUGGUGGUGGCGGUCGUCGCCUUCGUUACCCUCACCGUCGCUCCUCCGCCGCCGGAACAGCUGGGGCAGGCCGGCUCCGCUGACGGCAUGACGCCGCCUCCGUCAUCCAGUCACUCUUCAAUGAAACACGUCAAGAUGAUGAUGAUGCUCUCCUGUCUAUGUAAUGGCAAUUUAUCUAGCUGCACAGUAGCGGACACCUUCUUCGGCUGCAUCAAAGAGGAUAUGCUCUUCCUCGGCAACGUCACCAAUAUGAGCCUAUGCGAUAUGAAGAGGAAACUGGAAGAAAGACCAAAUGGCUGCUUCACAAAAAAUGGCACAUUGGUGGAACCCCUCACGAAGUGUCACAUGGAGAUGCAUGAGAAGAAGAAGGCAAUGAUGGAGCAGAGGAGGGCAAUGAUGGAGGGGGCAGGGGUUGCAGGCGAGAGCGGAGUGGAUAAGAUGGAUCGUUCCAGGCCGCCGCCACCUCCCAUGGACCCCUGCAUGAUGCCACGCGAUGGUCCCAUGCAGGGGAAAGCUUAAAGGCUCUUUCCAGACUGUGACACCCGCCGGCCACCACCAAGGGAGGACAUCACCGCGGCGUCGUCUCCAGCCCUCGCGUCUGUGUUGCUACGGGCAGGAGGCAGAAACCAAGCGGCCUCUCCCCACCCUGACCUGACCCCUUAAUUCCUGCUUCAUUAAAAUGUCUCCUGAUGUUCCUCUGCCCCUUGAUGUAAACUCCUUCCUUCCCUCCGUUCCCUUAACCUUGAUCCUGAUCCAGCCUCCCCACCAUGCCUCUGCUCCUUCCCUUACCACCCACAUUCUGUUUCUCCACAAUAAAGCACUGCAAAAUAAAAAGGAGUUUAUAUGUAUGCUCUCCGGAUGUUAUGUCCACCCUUUCAGACCAGCGUGACGGGCAGGUCUUUAACACCAAAUACUCAUCACUCACCAAAGGCUAUAGGGAGCAACGGGAGAAGACAGUUGCAUCCAGGUUGUUGCUUGUUGGGCAAGUCGCACGGCUCAUGUCAGUCUUGUGGACACGGGUGGGGUUGUAGGGCAGCUCCGGAGGACACUCCAUUGACGUCUCCGAGCCCUCAAGCCUCAACACACUCGCGGUACUUGGCACUGUGUCGGAAAUCACGAAGAGUUGUCACGCCCGCCGCUGGACACACCUCUCCGAUGCAGCGUUACCAAAUUAUCAUACUCAGCCGCUCAGCACAUUAUAUUUUCCGGUUUCUGACUCACAGCUAUCGCA